rnacentral:rRNA from 1 species
CCUACGGGAGGCAGCAGUGGGGAAUUUUGGACAAUGGGCGCAAGCCUGAUCCAGCAAUGCCGCGUGCAGGAUGAAGGCCUUCGGGUUGUAAACUGCUUUUGUACGGAACGAAACGGCCCUUUCUAAUACAAGGGGCUAAUGACGGUACCGUAAGAAUAAGCACCGGCUAACUACGUGCCAGCAGCCGCGGUAAUACGUAGGGUGCGAGCGUUAAUCGGAAUUACUGGGCGUAAAGCGUGCGCAGGCGGUUAUAUAAGACAGAUGUGAAAUCCCCGGGCUCAACCUGGGACCUGCAUUUGUGACUGUAUAGCUAGAGUACGGUAGAGGGGGAUGGAAUUCCGCGUGUAGCAGUGAAAUGCGUAGAUAUGCGGAGGAACACCGAUGGCGAAGGCAAUCCCCUGGACCUGUACUGACGCUCAUGCACGAAAGCGUGGGGAGCAAACAGGAUUAGAUACCCUGGUAGUCCACGCCCUAAACGAUGUCAACUGGUUNUUGGGUCUUCACUGACUCAGUAACGAAGCUAACGCGUGAAGUUGACCGCCGNGGGAGGUACGGUCCGGCGAGUUAGUUAACGUACGAAGUUAGUAAGUUAGACGGCGUGAGACGNGCGACGGACGACGACGAGGGAGGAGG